rnacentral:lncRNA from 1 species
UCGAGGACAAUCUGCAUAAGGUGUCUUAUCUAUUGUACUUACCUUUUGUCCAUAAAUCAUUAGUUAAAGCUAUUAAUGAUAGCUCAUUGUAGGUACUACGAAUUACGAAAGAUUGUCCUUUGGUUUUUAUACUAAUUCUAGCUUUAAGUAACAAUCCUCUCAUUGGAUUAACAUCUAGUGCGUGUGCCCUAAUCUAGCUCCUCUCCUCCCUCAACUUCAUUUUUUUUUAAAUUAAAAAAGAUAGCAUAUUAUAAAGCUUUUGUUAUCGGUGGGGUCGGAAAAAGAAUUGGUCUAAUGCUGUUACUUUGAAUUUUUACAUCAUAUUAUUUUCAUGACUUGAACUCAUAAUUCCCUCUUACUGUUGCAUCAAGACUCAUAAAAUCCUUUUCAUUAUACAAAAAGAAGAAAGAAAAGAAAUGGCAAAAUAACUCUCUUAGUCAUUUUCAAUCUAAAAAGAUGAUGUUGAUACUUGAAAUCAAGUGGAUUUGAAUAUGGAAUUGAUUCCAAAUCGAAAUUGAUAUUCAUGUGAAGUACCUAUUAAGUAUAAAUUGGGAAUGGAAAUAACCUUUAAAACAAUCCAUAUUAGGUACGAUCUUUAGUGGUGGGACGAUAUUUUAUUCUCUUUACUAAACUCUACGAGUUAAUAUUCUUAAUUAUACCAUCUAGGAUGAGAACUUUUGAUUGAUGGGACAUUUUACAGGUAAUUCUCAAAUAUGUAUUCUUAAUACAACUUUUACAUGGCAUCUUUGGCAACGCUAAAGAAUUUUACGUGGAGGGAUUUUGAUUGAUCAAUACUCAAAUUAUAAAUAUAAGAAGUCUCAUCAAACAAAUUGCACUUUGUUGGUUUUGAGUAUUCUUCUUGAUCGAUUCGUUCUGUUAUAAGCACUGACAAUAUAGAUAAUAUUAACUUAACAUUAUUACAUUAAGUUCACCUACAACAAUGUGAUAUAUAACUUUUCAUAUCAAACAUAAUUUUAGUAAUAACAUAUAUAAGCGCUUAAAUUAAACUCUAUAGUAAAUUAAAUUGAUUUUUUUUUUUGGUACCAGAAAAAAUAGUUUUUCUGUUUUCGUAGAGAUAAGAAUAAGAUCUUUAUAUAUUCUAUCUUCUCCGACCCUAAAUGCUACAUCAGAGAUGCAAAUGCAAUGAGCAUAUACUAACCUCAAUUUCUAUCACCAUGUGUCCACCACCAAAGCAUAUAAUUAAAUCUCUUUCCUUUCUCCAUUGUCCCAAUAACCACCACGAAAAACCUCUCCAUUAUUAUUCCACAAUGCAUUGCCACACAAGAAUCUUUCAAGAAAGGAAAGAUAUGACCUUUCUGCCUCCAUGUUGCCACACCAACCGAGUAACACAUAAUCAUUUUCUUUUUCCACCAUAUAAUUGCUAUAUUCUUAGGCUAUUUACUUUUUCUUUGAGUAUCUCAUCUCUAAUCUUCUAUGGAAUCAGUACUUAAAAUCUACUGAUUCAGCGCUAUUUACUUUUUCUUUGAGUAUCUGUUCUCUAAUCUUCUAUGGAAUCAGUACUUAAAAUCUACUGAUUCAGUGCAAUACAGAAAGGAAAAGGAAAAGACAAAAAAUACAAACAAAAUGUGGUGAUAUUCUCUAGGGUUAGUUCUUCCCUACGUGACAAUUCGCCUUUUCCCCCCAAGGCCACAGGAAAGGUACCAAUAGAAAAAAGUAACUGACAGAACAUGUUCUUUGCUCCCCAUUGUCUCCCUUCAUAACCUAGCUAGAUUAGUUUUCUUUUUUACUUGGCCACUUGCUUCGUCUAUGAACUAUAGCACAUUUUGUAUUCUCUAAGCUCUCGUUUUUUAAUUUUUUAAUUUUCUUUUUUGAAAAUAUUAUUUAGAAAAUAUGACCAUAUUUUGAGGAAAGAAAUUCAAAAAUUUUCAAGUUUCCAAAACUGGUUUAGGAUAUUUUUUGGGUGAAUAUUUUUUUCACUCACAAACAUUAGCUUUUCUCAAAAUAAGAUGCAUGUUUAUACACAACUUCAACUUUAGAAAAUUAUUUUUCAACAUAACUUUAAAACUCUUUUUCCAAGUUCAAUCAAAUAUAUGUUCAAACACUAGCUAAAUUACUUUUUUAUGUCUUAAAUAAAGCACGAUAGUUACAAAGUGAUGAAACUCGAUAAUCAAAAUAAAGAGAAGUUUAAAAAUGUCCAACAGAAUGAAUGACUUGUGACUUAGAAAUAUGUCAUGAAAUUUAAAUGGUUAUAGAAAAAGGCGAUGAAUAGAAAUAAAG